AUUCCAUGAUGAGGACAUUUCCUCAACAUCUCCUUAUAUGUUUCCCAUGUAUCGUAUAAGGAGUCAGAUUCUAAUUGGCCACAAUAGGAGAUGUCUCUUCUGAGUUU